rnacentral:rRNA from 1 species
GACGAACGCUGGCGGCGUGCUUAACACAUGCAAGUCGAGCGGUAAGGCCCUUUCGGGGGUACGACGAGCGGCGAACGGGUGAGUAACACGUGGGUGACCUGCCCUCAGCUCUGGGAUAAGCCUGGGAAACGUGGGUCGUAAUACCGGAUAUGACCCCACUGACGCAUGUCGUGGGGUGGAAAGACCUUGUGCGGCUGAGGAUGGGCCCGGCCGGCCUAUCAGCUUGUUGGUGGGGUGGAUGGCCUACCAAGGCGACGACGGGUAGCCGGCCUGAGAGGGCGACCGGCCACACUGGGACUGAGGCACGGCCCAGACUCCUACGGGAGGCAGCAGUGGGGAAUCUUGCGCAAUGGGCGAAAGCCUGACGCAGCGACGCCGCGUGAGGGAUGACGGCCU